rnacentral:rRNA from 1 species
AUGCUGGCGAUGAGGAGGAGCUGCAGGACGGCCCUCGUCGCAGCGGUGGUGGUGGUGGCCCUGGCGAUGGCGCCGCCGGGUGUGUGCGAGAAGAAGGGGCCGCUGGUGACGGCGGUGAUCGUGUUCGGCGACUCCAUCAUGGACCCCGGCAACAACAACGGCCUCCACACGGUGGUGAAGGCGAACCACGCGCCCUACGGCAAGGACUUCGCCAACCACGAGCCCACCGGCCGCUUCUCCAACGGGCUCAUACCCACCGACUUCAUGGCCCAGGGCCUUAACGUGAAGGAACUACUUCCUCCGUACCUGGGCGUGGAGCACACCCGAGAGGACCUCCUCACCGGCGUCAGCUUCGCGUCCGGCGCCACCGGAUUCGACCCUCUCACCCCCGUCAUCGUGAACGUGAUCUCGCUGGAGCAGCAGCUGGCCUACUUCGACGAGUACCGCGGCAAGCUGGUGGACAUCGCCGGCGAGGAGGAGACGCGGCGGAUCAUCGACGGCGCGCUGUUCGUGGUGUGCGCGGGCACGGACGACAUCGCCAACACCUACUACACCACGCCGCUCCGGAGCGCCCACUACGACAUCCCGGCCUACGUGGACCUGCUCCUCGUCGGCGUCGAGUCCUUGCUCCGCAACGUGAGCGCGCGGGGCGCCAAGCGGAUCGGCUUCGUGGGGCUCCCGCCCAUCGGGUGCGUGCCGUCGCAGCGGACCAUGGGCGGCGGCCCGGACCGCGGCUGCGUGCCGGAGCGCAACGCCGCGGCGCGGCUCUACAACGCGAGGGCGCAGGAGCUGAUCCGCCGGCUGGGCGAGGAGGACCCGGCCGGGUUCCCCACCCUCGUGUUCAUCGACAUCUACACCGUGAUCCAGGACCUGGUGGACAACGGGGCGCGGUACGGGUUCAGCGAGACGACGAAGGGGUGCUGCGGCACCGGGACGAACGAGGUGGCCGUGCUGUGCGACGCCAGGUUCAUGCCGGUGUGCGACGACGUGUCGGAGCAUGUCUUCUUCGACAGCUACCACCCCACGCAGAGGGCCUACAAGGUCAUCGUCGACUACAUCUUCGACCACUACAUGCAGUUCCUCAACCUCUGA